rnacentral:rRNA from 1 species
UAUUUGGUCGUAGACCCGAAACCAGGUGAUCUACCCUUGGUCAGGUUGAAGUUCAGGUAACACUGAAUGGAGGACCGAACCGACUUACGUUGAAAAGUGAGCGGAUGAACUGAGGGUAGCGGAGAAAUUCCAAUCGAACCUGGAGAUAGCUGGUUCUCUCCGAAAUAGCUUUAGGGCUAGCCUCAAGUGAUGAUUAUUGGAGGUAGAGCACUGUUUGGACGAGGGGCCCCUCUCGGGUUACCGAAUUCAGACAAACUCCGAAUGCCAAUUAAUUUAACUUGGGAGUCAGAACAUGGGUGAUAAGGUCCGUGUUCGAAAGGGAAACAGCCCAGACCACCAGCUAAGGUCCCAAAAUAUAUGUUAAGUGGAAAAGGAUGUGGCGUUGCCCAGACAACUAGGAUGUUGGCUUAGAAGCAGCCAUCAUUUAAAGAGUGCGUAAUAGCUCACUAGUCGAGUGACACUGCGCCGAAAAUGUACCGGGGCUAAACAUAUUACCGAAGCUGUGGAUUGUCCUUUGGACAAUGGUAGGAGAGCGUUCUAAGGGCGUUGAAGCAUGAUCGUAAGGACAUGUGGAGCGCUUAGAAGUGAGAAUGCCGGUGUGAGUAGCGAAAGACGGGUGAGAAUCCCGUCCACCGAUUGACUAAGGUUUCCAGAGGAAGGCUCGUCCGCUCUGGGUUAGUCGGGUCCUAAGCUGAGGCCGACAGGCGUAGGCGAUGGAUAACAGGUUGAUAUUCCUGUACCACCUAUAAUCGUUUUAAUCGAUGGGGGGACGCAGUAGGAUAGGCGAAGCGUGCGAUUGGAUUGCACGUCUAAGCAGUAAGGCUGAGUAUUAGGCAAAUCCGGUACUCAUUAAGGCUGAGCUGUGAUGGGGAGAAGACAUUGUGUCUUCGAGUCGUUGAUUUCACACUGCCGAGAAAAGCCUCUAGAUAGAAAAUAGGUGCCCGUACCGCAAACCGACACAGGUAGUCAAGAUGAGAAUUCUAAGGUGAGCGAGCGAACUCUCGUUAAGGAACUCGGCAAAAUGACCCCGUAACUUCGGGAGAAG